AUUGAACGCUGGCGGAAUGCUUUACACAUGCAAGUCGAACGGCAGCACGGGUGCUUGCACCUGGUGGCGAGUGGCGAACGGGUGAGUAAUGCACCGGAACGUAUCCAAUAAUGGGGGAUAACGCACCGAAAGGUGUGCUAAUACCGCAUACGCCCUGAGGGGGGAAAGCGGGGGAUCGUAAGACCUCGCGUUAAUGGAGCGGCCGAUGCCGGAUUAGCUAGUUGGUGAGGUAAAGGCUCACCAAGGCGACGAUCCGUAGCUGGUCUGAGAGGACGACCAGCCACACUGGAACUGAGACACGGUCCAGACUCCUACGGGAGGCAGCAGUGGGGAAUUUUGGACAAUGGGCGCAAGCCUGAUCCAGCCAUUCCGCGUGAGUGAAGAAGGCC
rnacentral:rRNA from 1 species